rnacentral:rRNA from 1 species
GACGAACGCUGGCGGCGUGCUUAACACAUGCAAGUCGAGCGGAUCGGCGAACGGGUGAGUAACGCUUGAGUAUCUGCCCCCCUCUCUGGGAUAACAGUUGGAAACGGCUGCUAUUACCGGACAGAGGGGGUUGAGUCGCGUCCUAUCAGCUUUUUGGUGGGUUAAUGGUCUACAAAGGCGACGACGGGUAGCCGGCCUGAGAGGGCGACCGGCCACAUUGGGCUGGGGAACGGCCAAAAGUGCUACGGGAGGCAGCGGUGGGGAAUAGUGCACGAUAGGGGAAGCCCUGAUGGAGCAACGCCGCGUGCGAGAUGACGGCCGUCAGGUUGUAAACCGCGUUCAGCCGUGACGCGGUAGUGGCAGAGGAAGCACCGGCUAACUACGUGCCAGCAGCCGCGGUAAUUC